CUGGUAAAAAGGUGAAAACCUUUUUUACCCCCAAUCUUUGCGCAAUGGAGCACACGGCUUAUGCAUCGAUGAAGCCCGCGGCAAAAAGCGAUAUGUAAUGAGAUUCGUUAGCCUCGCGAUUCAUCAAAUUGGUGAACACAUACUGGACCUCUUCGGAGGUACUUGCGUUAGAGUGCUAGUUUUCUAUCAAUUGAUCCUGGUAAAAGGUGUUUGAAUCGUUAGGUUCUUACGCCCUAGCCGGUGUAGCCGGAUUCUCUCUGAGAAUUCGGAUUGUUCCUUGGUUAAUAGCUUUUGAUAUUGACUAGGUCAAUCCUUGUAUUAAACUGGCCUCUACUGUGAGAGGGUACCCCUGGAUUUAAGCAUAU
rnacentral:misc_RNA from 1 species